UAACGAAUCUUCCGCAAUGGGCGAAAGCCUGACGGAGCAAUGCCGCGUGUGGGAUGAAGCGCCUUCGGCGUGUAAACCACUGUCAGGGAAUGGAACCAAUGAUUAUUCCCAAAGGAAGUGGCGACUAACUCUGUGCCAGCAGUCGCGGUAAUACAGAGGCCACAAGCGUUAGUCGGAAUCACUGGGCUUAAAGGGUGCGUAGGCGGGCCCGCAAGCGUCUUGUGAAAUCCCAUGGCUCAACCAUGGAAUUGCAGGGCGAACUGCGGGUCUUGAGGCAGGUAGGGGCCGGAAGAACAGUAGGUGGAGCGGUGAAAUGCGUAGAUAUCUACUGGAAUGCCGAUGGGGAAGCCGUCCGGCUGGGCCUGUCCUGACGCUGAGGCACGAAAGCGUGGGGAGCAAACAGGAUUAGAUACCCCCGUAGUCCCUGAGCGGGCUGGCAAGGCGCAU
rnacentral:rRNA from 1 species